rnacentral:lncRNA from 1 species
UGCGAAUGGAGAGCCGACAUACCUUGACAAUAUUGGAUAUCCUGUUUCUCUCUAGGACCUUUUGGGAGCGUUUUUUCAGUAAAGGGUGAUAUCCAACAAAUUAACCUGGAGGAGGAAAAACCCCAGGAGGAAAAAUGUUAUCCUAUCCGAGGAUUGUUAAGGUGUGUAAAACUGGAGUAGGAAAGAGCUCAAUAGGAAAAAUCAUCCUUGGAAGAGAAACAUUGAAGGUGGAUUCAUCUCUACAAGCUACAACUGCAGUUCUGGAGAAUGGCAGAAAAAAUUGUUUAAUUGAUGCUCCAGGAUGCUUAUCUGCUUAUCUGGCGUUCAGGGAAAUCCAUGGGAGAUUUUUAGAGAUAAAGAACAAUGUAAAGAGGAUUCAGAAGAUCUUUGGAGAAGAAGCCCAAAAGCAUGUGUUGUUCACUCAUGGAAAUGAGAAUCAGAAUGAGGAUAAUAAUCUAAAGAAGUUUGUCUGUGAGCUGCUGGGAAAAGAGGGAUCAGGAAAGAGUUCAACAGGAAACAACAUCCCUGGAAAAGAGGCGUUUAAGGUGGAAUUCCCAACUUACACUUCCACCCUGAUGAAAAAAGAUCUGCUGGAAAACAUGAAGACAUCUCCUGCUGAUUUGGAGGAUUCUGGUCGUUUUAUGGAGGCUUUAAAUCUGGAGUGGAGCACCUUAAAGUAUAAACGUUAUGGA